UACGAAGGGGGCUAGCGUUGUUCGGAAUUACUGGGCGUAAAGCGCACGUAGGCGGAUCGAUUAGUCAGGGGUGAAAGCCCAGAGCUCAACUCUGGAACUGCCUUUGAUACUGUCGAUCUGGAGCAGAGUAGAGGUGAGUGGAAUUCCGAGUGUAAAGGUGAAAUGCGUAGAGAUCCGGAAGAACACCGGUGGCGAAGGCGGCCUGCUGGGCAGUUUAGCUGACACUGAGGCGCGACAGCGUGGGGAGCAAACAGG
rnacentral:rRNA from 1 species